rnacentral:rRNA from 12 species
GAGUAGGCUGGAAUUUUAGGUAAAUCCGGAAUUCUAAGGCCGAGACACGAGACGAGCUCCCAAGGGAGUGAAGUUGUUGAUGCCCUGCUUCCAGGAAAAGCUUCUAAACUUAUGAUUAUAUGAACCGUACCCCAAACCGACACAGGUGGUCAGGUAGAGAAUACUAAGGCGCUUGAGAGAACUCGGGUGAAGGAACUCGGCAAAAUUGUACCGUAACUUCGGGAGAAGGUACGCCUCUGUUUGUGAACACUUCGCGUGGUAAGCAAAUGGAGGCCGCAGUGACCAGGUGGCUGGGACUGUUUAUUAAAAACACAGCACUCUGCAAACUCGUAAGAGGACGUAUAGGGUGUGACACCUGCCCGGUGCCGGAAGGUUAAUUGAUGGGGUUAGUUUUCGGACGAAGCUCUUGAUCGAAGCCCCGGUAAACGGCGGCCGUAACAAUAACGGUCCUAAGGUAGCGAAAUUCCUUGUCGGGUAAGUUCCGACCUGCACGAAUGGCGUAACGAUGGGGGCGCUGUCUCUACCCGAGACUCAGUGAAAUUGAAAUCGCCGUGAAGAUGCGGUGUAUCCGCGGCUAGACGGAAAGACCCCGUGAACCUUUACUACAGCUUGGCACUGAACAUUGAACCUACAUGUGUAGGAUAGGUGGGAGGCUUUGAAGCACAGUCGCUAGAUUGUGUGGAGCCGUCCUUGAAAUACCACCCUUGUAUGUUUGAUGUUCUAACAUUGUUCCCUUAUCGGGAAUGUGGACAGUGUCUGGUGGGUAGUUUGACUGGGGCGGUCUCCUCCCAAAGCGUAACGGAGGAGCACAAAGGUGGGCUAAGCAUGGUCGGACAUCAUGCGGUUAGUGUAAUGGCACAAGCCCGCUUGACUGCGAGACAGACACGUCGAGCAGGUACGAAAGUAGGUCAUAGUGAUCCGGUGGUUCUGUAUGGAAGGGCCAUCGCUCAACGGAUAAAAGGUACUCCGGGGAUAACAGGCUGAUACCGCCCAAGAGUUCACAUCGACGGCGGUGUUUGGCACCUCGAUGUCGGCUCAUCACAUCCUGGGGCUGAAGCCGGUCCCAAGGGUAUGGCUGUUCGCCAUUUAAAGUGGUACGCGAGCUGGGUUUAGAACGUCGUGAGACAGUUCGGUCCCUAUCUGCCGUGGACGUUGGAGAUUUGAGGAAAGCUGCUCCUAGUACGAGAGGACCGGAGUGGACGAACCUCUGGUGUUCGGGUUGUGACGCCAGUCGCAUUGCCCGGUAGCUAUGUUCGGACAGGAUAACCGCUGAAAGCAUCUAAGCGGGAAGCCCCUUCCAAGAUGAGAUCUCCCUGGACCCUCGAGGUCCCUGAAGAGCCGUUCAAGACCAGGACGUUGAUAGGUCGGGUGUGUAAGCGCUGCGAGGCGUUGAGCUAACCGAUACUAAUUGCUCGU